GCGAAGAAGAUGGAGGGAAUUUCAGGUUUAAGAUGAGGAGAAGCUUUUUCAUGACACCCAAGCAUGCCUGAUGCAUGUAGUCAAUGGGGAAGGCUUUUACCAUGUCGAUAGGCAAGUUUAGCAGGGGAGUGUUGCCAUGAUGGUGCUCUUCUUGGGUUUGAUGUCUGAAUGCUUCGUCUGUUCGCAGGGCCACUAGAUUGUAGAUCAUUGAGGUCUGCCACCAUGUCAUCUAAAAAAUGCAGGUCGGUUGGCCGCUUGUUUCCGCACGUCAGUGUGAUUGGGAAAACAGUGAUGGGCUUGAGGUGGACAGCACAUAGGACAGGCCACAUUGCUUUCCCUGAGCUCUUGAACAGCGGCAAUCCAUCAAUGUUGGGGGACAGAUUAACUGUGUCGCAGUCAGACAGCUGUUCAAAUGGCAGGGUACGAGCGGAGGAUGGGAGAUCCGAGUGGCCAUGAUUCUGAAGAAUCUUCAACAACUGAUCAACGGCAUUGUUCUUCACCUGACAGUCAGUGGGUACCUCCCCAUCAUCCUCAAACGCUACCUCCCUGUCGUCUUCAUAGGCUUCUCCCCUAUCAUCGUCCAAGGCUACCUCCAUGUCAUCCUGCAAGUAUUCCUCCAACUCUAAUGAUGCUGUAAUGGACUGUGGGGAUGACAUGUUUUCAGUGUCGUCCACGUGGUUGCCCAUGUGGCUGUCAUCAAUCAGAUUCUCUGUGUCUAUCUUUUUGAGCACA